rnacentral:piRNA from 1 species
CUGCACAGCACCUCGCCUGCUUCUAGGGCC